GAGAGGUGCUGCAUGGCUGUCGUCAGCUCGUGUUGUGAAAUGUUGGGUUAAGUCUCGCAACGAGCGCAACCCCUAUCGUCUGUUGCCAGCAUUAAGUUGGGCACUCUGACGAGACUGCCUGGGUUAACCAGGAGGAAGGUGGGGAUGACGUCAAGUCCUCAUGGCCCUUAUGUCUAGGGCUACACACGUGGUACAAUGGCGCGUACAGAGGGAAGCGAACUCGCAAGGGGGAGCAAAUCUCAAAAAGCGCGCCUCAGUUCGGAUUGAAGUCUGCAACUCGACUUCAUGAAGUUGGAAUCGCUAGUA
rnacentral:rRNA from 1 species